GUAUUUGAUGAGCUUAGGAACAAACGAUUUCCUGGAAAAUUACUACACGUUUCCAACAAGGCGAGUACAAUUUAGUGUCAGACAAUACCAGGAUUUUCUUGUUUCACUUGCUAGAGAUUUCAUUACCAAACUCUACAGUCUUGGAGCUAGGAAGAUAUCACUAACUGGGGUUCCUCCAAUGGGGCGUUUGCCACUGGAGGGACCACAAAUUUCAUAGGUCAACAUGAUUGUUUAGAGGAGUACAAUAAUGUUGCUUUAGAAUUCAAUGGGAAGUUGGAGGGC
rnacentral:misc_RNA from 1 species